rnacentral:lncRNA from 1 species
CCCAUGAUAAGAAUUCACCUAACAUAAAUAACUAUGUCCAACAACAGUGCAUAGUUUCAGAUAGUAAUCCCAAUUACAAUUGGAUGCUGUUUGGUUUGUAUUUAUAUUAUAUUUCAGACUUUAUAUAAUUACAGAUAAAUCAUUUUCUGUUUUUUAUGUUUUAUUUUUUUAUUCAUUGAGAGGUUCAAUGGAUCAAAAUAAUAUGAUAAAUUAUAAAAUAGAGGCAUGGUCUUUCUCUUAGCUCACCAAAUUGAUAAAAACUAUUGUAGUCGAGUAGAGUCAAAUUUAAGACCUCUCAUUCCUCAAAAUCAAUCUGAUUAUGUCUAAUUUACGAUGAUCAUUUUAUUUCUUCAAUGAGAUGAAAAUAAUAAUAGUAAAAUAAAAAUAUAAUUUAUUAUCACAUGAUUAUUGAUAUUUAUGGAAUAUAUUAUGUCCUUGUAUAUGGUCUCCAAUUUAAUUUUUUUUUUAUUUUAAUCAUCAAGUAUUCGAAACUCAUUUACUCGAUUAAUUCGAAUUUGCGUUGAGCAAGCCUAUAAAGAGAAUAAAAUACUUCCUACCGAGUGUUUGCAGAGACCGUCAUCCCAUCUCACCCCUCAAGACAUUUCACUUUGAUUUUUAAUGUCUUUCUUAACAUUUUGUCCAGUAAAUUAAAAAAAAUAAUAAUAUUAAAGACAAAAAUAAAAUUUAGUACUAGCAGAUAUGGUUAUUCCAAGUCAAUUUAGAAAAUAAUAAAAAAACUGAAUCUUUUUUUAUUCUUCUUUUCUGAUCCAGACAAAAGUCCUAGUAAAACUUGGUGGCUUGGUUUCAUCUGCAUGUGAGUUGGUUCCCAGGACAAUUCUGUAUCUUUCUUCUUUUCCACAUUCACCAAUUCACUAGAAAUUACCGACAGCGCAUUUUGAUUGGAGGUUGAUAAUAUUUAACAUAUAUCACUUGUUUUUCAUUUCAAGCUUAGAUUAUUUUCUUCGGUGUAUGGUUCUGUCGUGUACGUGCAGGUUCUUCGGUUCAGAUAGCCUAAUCAGGCUGAGUCAAGGUGCAUUAAUGUUAAGCACAAUAUCCGAAGCUAUAUUAUAUAUAUAUAUAUAUAUAUAUAUAUAUAACAGUGAUUUUCGCAAGUGUACGAAAUCGCAAUUAAGCACAUUCAGUUGAACUGUCUAAUCUCUUUCUUGUUAUAGAUCAUUUACAUAUUUGGUGUAGUCAUUUUCUUUUAUUUGCAAUGCUUAAGGCUUGUUGUCUACUUGUUUUUCAUUCAAUGUUUUGAUCUUGCUAAUAUGGUACAUUCUGUACAUGAAAAGCCAGAGGAAGCUUCUGAUGAAUUGAAUCAUGACUAGUUGCUCCUUGUUAUGUACUUGUUUUUAUCAAAUAGAAAGCUAUAAUUGCUAGUCUAGGGCUAUCAAUUUUGUUUUUAUCAAAGAGAAAGCUAUAAUUCCUUGUUUUUAUGCAAUCUUCUGCUUCUGCACAAUUUGAAAGGCCUUAAUGCCAAAAAAAUUCAACAUUGUUUGAAAAAUUAUAAUCAUAUCCAAACCUUCAAAAAUAGACUUUUCUUUUUUUUUUUUAACUCCAACCUUCAAAAAUUAAUUGCAAUUCUACAAAUUUGGUUAAAAUUGAAAUGAAAUGCAACAUCUUCAAUGGGCUCUCACUAGUUUCAUUAUUUCUUAAAAUGAUCUCAAAUGUAAAUUUUUUGAGAACUCAUUAAUUCUUCAUAUGUUGGAACUGUUUGCAUCUUUUUAUAUGCUUUCUUGUUUUCAUCCAAGGUGAAUCUUCUGCUGAAUCAAAAACAACCUAACUUUGUUAGAUUCUUUUUUGGUUCUUUUUAUGCGUUGCAAUGUAACAUUGUUUUAGAAGGACAUUAAAUCUUACUAUAACUAAUACUUAUGGCAAUAAAAUACACAUUCAUUUCAAUGCUGCUGUAACAGUUUUUCUUGUCAGCUAUUUCUUUCAUGUAUUUAACUAGAUUUACGUUUGUAUUAUGUUUGCGAAUCUUUUAGAUUCAUGUUUAUUUACUUAGUUUCCAUCACCUGAAGUGCUAGCUUCGCAAAAUGACGACAAUCUUGUUGGUUAUAUGUAACAAUUCCUCUAUCCAUAAAUAUAAGUCGUUUAAGGUUGUUGCACAGUGAUUAAGAAAGUAAUUAAUUCUCUUAAAUUAUAACAAAAUGCUCAAUAAUUUGAUUAAAUUACACUUUAGAAAAUUAUAGAGAUAGUUAUUUUAUUUAAUACAAAUAAGGAUAAAUCUUAUUAAUUACUCUUAGAUAUUAUCUUUGUAGACAAAACAAUUAUCCUAGAACAAUUUAUGUUUGUGGAUAGAGAACAAUUUAUGCAUUUGUUCUAUUCUGUAGAAUAGAUACACUAAUAAGUUAAAUACUGAGACUCAGGGAUCUAUGACCUGUUAACAAAAUUGAUAAGAAGUAAUACAAAAACUAACAAUUGAAAGCCAGCUAAUUAAUUAAUAUACAUGAUGUUUUUCCAUAGAAAAUCUCAACACCAAGAUGAUUAAUUAAGAUAUAUAAGAGUAUGUAAAGUAACACAAACUGUCUGCAGCCUUCCACUGGACUAUAAGCAUUUCUUCUUAUCCUUCCAUCUUUUUCUGGGUUAAAAUUAAAAAGCAUGAUCAGCACAAGAAGACUGAACAAAAUUGCAAGCAAGUGGCUGCACAUAGCAGGCAGCAGAAGGCACAGAUUUCGCUUACAAAAACCAAUUGCAAGUGGAAUACUUAUAACAGUUCCAAGGCAUCAUUAUGGCUAGUAAAGGUCAUUUUGUUGUCUACUCAAAGAGAUGAGAAACGUUUCGCAUUACCAUUAACAUAUCUGAACACAUUAUGAGGUUUUUUCGGGAGAGUCGGCAUGUGAGGUUUUUUCGGCAUUCAAGGUUUUUUCGGGAGAGUCUGAACACAUUAAUAUCACGUAAUGCAUUUCAUAGUUUUUAUUUAUUUAUUUAUUUAUAACACCUUUUGUUUUGACAAAAGUAAUGCAUAUGUAAGUUGGAUUCCCAAUUUUCUUAAGCUGUGUUUUUUAUCUCUCGAUUUCUAUUUUCUUGCUUAUAAACAUUAAUAUAUAAACAAAAUUACUUAUAGAAAUAUAAUUAAAUAAUUUGCCCUUAACAAUAAUAAUAACAUCUAUAUGUUUAGAUAUAUAAACCUUUAUGACCCUAUACAACAACUAUAAUCUAAAAUACUAAUACAGUUAUAAAAUCUAAAAGUGCCACCAACUUCAAACAAAGUGAUUAAACCAUUAGCCCAUAAUUUCUUUUUCAUGUUAUUAAACAACAUUAAUAUUAUUUACUUUGAAACAAUCAAUUACUUCAUGUUCUUUUAUGCAUUCUUGUUGCAACCUCAGAAAUUUUAUUGGCGUUCAUUCAAAGCACUAGCCUUGCAAAAUGACGCUAUACUGUUGUUUAUGUAACUUUUUCAACUGCAUUGUUUUGUUAACUAAUUUGAAAUUAACCUGAGAGACUUUGGUAUGUAUGAUUACUAAUAAAAAUGUCAAAAACUACAAAACCAACUCUUUGCACAAAACCAGCUAAUUCAAUGCUUUUGCAUAGAAAAUGUCAUAAAGAAAAUGAAAUUUCUCAAGAUAUAUAAGAGCGCACAACCCACUUCCAUUUAUGUACUUGUCUAAGCAUUUCUUUGAAACCCUCAUCUUCUUCUUCUAGAGUAAAAAUAAGAACUGACCAUGAUCAGCACCAGAAGACUCAAGAAAAUUGCCAGGAAGUGGCAGCGCGUAGCUGAAAUUAGGAGGAGAAAAAUUUCAUUCCCAAAACCCAAUUGGAAUGAGACUAAAUCCAAUUCCAAGGCAUCGUUAGUAAAGGCCAUUUUGUUGUCUACUCUAGUGACUGGAAGCGAUUUGUACUAUCUUUGACAUAUCUCAACACUUACGUUUUCCAAGAGCUCUUUAGGAUUUCAGAAGAAGAAUUUGGACUACCAAGUGAAGGCCCUCUUAGAAUUGCAUGUGAUUCACUCUUGAUAGAGUACAUACUCUCAAUACAAACUGGUUUAGAUAAAGGAUUAGAGAAGGCUUUGCUUAAGUCUCUAGUAAACAGAUCUAGCUUAUCAUUUGCUUCUCUUCAUUUAGGACAUACCAUUAGGCAAGAAUUACUAGUUUAUGGGUAUUAAAGUUUCUUCUUCUUCUUUUUUAAUCUAGGUUUUGUAUAUUUUCCAUACUGCAAUUGAAUUGAUAAUUCUUUGAAUAAUCUAGAAUUGCACAAUUCAAAAUCCUUAAGCAUGUAAGAGAAGAAAGUAGCAAUUUGAUUAGUAGCUAGCCCAGUGGUCUAAGCAGUAUUUCUUGCUCAUCACCUACAACUAGGCAGCAAUUACUAGUCUCUGGCUAUUUUGUAAGUAUCCAUAAUGCCACUGAUAAUUUUUUAGGGCAUAAUUGAACCAAAUGAAUAAAAACCAGCAUCUUGCAACUUGUAAGAAAUGUUAACAAGUUAAACCAACACAUGGGUGCUCCAACGACGACAAUCAGAACACUUGUCGUUUAAAAUGGAGCAGCAAAAUCAAUUAGUUGAAGGCAUUCACAAAAAAGUUGUGUGUAACACAUUGUCUCAAAUACAAUAACCAGAAAAGCUCAAUUUGUAUUUGUUAGAGUUUGUUCAUUUCAGAAAGUUAAACAUAAGACAUUCCUAUUUCAAAAUUUGUGGUCUGAUGUGUGGCGUGCUCACCUACUCACCUUUUCUUUCAUGGGGUCGUUUCGAUGAUAGCGGCAUAACUAAACGGAAUUUAUUCCUCACUCGUUGGAAGAUAAUUUUAGACUACAAAUUUAUAAUAUGCAACCUGGAUCCUUUUCGUUUAAAGGAGAAAGACCUAUUCAAGCCAAACGGCAUGUCGUUCAACCUCAUCAUGCUAUGGUUUUCUGUAUAAACUUAAUAAAUAUCAAAUCAUAAAUUUUUUAGCAUUUAACAACUAAUAUAUCUGCACCAUGCUGCGAUUGUAUAUUUUUUUAGAAAUUUAUUUUGUAAUAAUAGUUAGGAUAAUUAUUUUUAAAAAAAUAUAUGCAAAAUGAUUUAUUCAACAAAAACUACUUGGCAUAAAGUGUUUACUAAACAAAUGAGCAUGAAAUUCAACAAGCAAUUUUUUUUUUUGUUUGCUUCAUAUUCCUUCCAUCUAUAGAUGUGAUUCUUUGUCUGAAAUUCAGUAAGAUGCAUUUACAAUUUAUCCUUUUUUUUUCAAUAUAAGUAUAAUUUAUUACAAAUGAUAGAAUUUAAUUUAGUUAUAUUAGUUUGUGCUUUAUCUAUAAUUUAUAUGUAGAAGAAACCUUAUAUUGGGAUAAUUGAUCGGAGUUAAUUAACUUGUCCUUGAACAAAAAGACAAUAAUAUAAGAAUGAAAUUCUGGUUUUCAGCCAUCAGGAAAUUACAGCACACAAAUAACUAACCAUAUAUAUAUAUAUGAUUUUUCAUUGACAAUAACAACAUAAAGAAAGCAAAAUAAUUUGGAGUUUCUCAAACCUUUUCAAUAUAUACGUAGCCAUUCCCUUCCACUACUCACUCACCAAGCACAAGCUCAAGGCCCUGAAUAAUAAUCAUGAUAGCUCAUCAGAAUAGCAAGAAAGUGGCAAAAGAAUGCAGUCAUGAAGAGAAAAACUAUUUCUUUUCAAAAUUCAAAUAGCAGGAAAACUGAUACAGACUAUUCUCUUACAUCAUUCAAUAGGAUAGGAAACUUUGUUGUCUACACCAUCGAUGAUCGGGGGUUUGUUCUUCCCAUAUCAUAUCUCAGUUCUAAGAUUUUCAUAGAGCUAUUAAAGCUGUAACAAGAAGCAUUUGGACUACCAAGCGAAGGGCCUAUAAAAUUGUCGUGUGAUGGUAUCUUCAUGGAGUAUGUAGUCUCAAUCAUCCAAAAAGGUAUAGGCAAAGACAUGGAGAAAGCUUUAGUACUUACUUCCAUGGCAAUUAGUUGUUGCUCGAUGUCAACUAAUUUCCAUCAAGAACAUACAGGGCAACAAUUUCUUGUUUGUAUAUAAUCCCCACAUAACUGUUGUGUACUUGUGUCGCAUCUUUUGAACAAUUUUUAUAGAUUCUUUAUACUGUUGUUAAAAUUUAUUCUUUUUUUCAGAUUUACAUUCUCAUAUCUUCUGCUGGUGAACUGCUUGACAGCAGGAUAAAGAUAUGACAUUUCAUCUAGCAAUCAUAAUAACCACAUAGAUAUACCAUAUGUCAAACAAAAAAAUUAUUAACUCUUUACCUAAUUUAGUGCAACAUAUGGUGUCGAUCAUUUUGAAGCUUCAGGAAUCUUGGCAUGUCUGCAAGAAAUAAAGAAUAUUCUUGAUGAUAGCAAUCAGAAGAUAUUGAGAUUCUUUGAAGCACAUAGAUUAGUUAGGUCUAUCAAUGGAAGAUAUACAAUAAUCGGAGAGAGAAAUAAGUAAAUUUUGAUGGAACAAUCCAAAAGCAAAAAAGUGUUAAAGUUACAGCUACAGCUAUUGAUGCAAGCAGUGUUGACAAUUUUUGGAGGUAUUUUGUUAAAGUCAUUUAGAUUUUGUUGUAUUUUGUUGAAAUCAAGAGGUAGGUGAACUACCUUGCUUUUAGGUAGGUGCGGUGAACAACCUUCCUUGACUUAUGGAAGGUUGGUGAACAAACUUUAGACUAGCUCUACUAUAAAUAUUUACUUUAUACUGUAAUGGAAUUAAUAAGAAAUUGAUUGUUUCUUCACACUCACAAAAUCUGCAGCUUUUUCUUUUUCUGCAGAAUUUCCUUCUCUUCCUUAAUUUUCUGCUCUUCUAAACCAACAAAAAGAAAGUAAAAAGAAAAAAAAAAAACUUUGUAUUGCAUGGUGGGAUACGGUAAAAUUACAAAAAAUUAUAUAAUAUAAAGUGUAAAUAUGUGUAUAAAAUUACAAAAAGUAAAAAAAUAAAUACAGAAAUGAAUCAAAGUACAAAAAUGAAUUGCAGAAUUUGUAUUCAAAUUACACAAAGUCAAUAAAUAGAUACAGAAAACAAAUUAAUAAACAGAAAAAAAGAAGAGGUGAACAAAAAUUAAGAAACAAAUACUGCCUUGAAAAUUAUACAAUUUAGCCCUAACUAUUUACAUAAAAUUACAAUUUUGUCCUUGGCAUGAUAUGUUUCAGGUGUAUGAGUGUGCGACACUUAGCUACUAGUGCUAAAACUAAAAUAUUUAACAUCAUAUAAUUAUCUGAUACUCAAUCAGUCUUGAAUUGUGGAAUCUCUUUUCUUGGAGGAUGCGAGCGUACUCAUUUGUUAUAACUGUAUCCAACUACCUAAGCUUUUUUUUCCUUUUUUUUUUUUUAUAAAACCACCGGACUCUAACCGCUUAAUCCAGCUUAUUGCUUAAUGCAGUUAAGAUUUUUCGCCACUCUCUAAUGGGAAUCGAAUCUGAAAGCUCUUCCCAUAUAGUCAACCUGAGUCAAAACCCGUGGGUUAUGAAGCAACUCUUUAACUAGGUCAUAACGAGACAAAAUAUGGUAAAUAGAUGCAUUGUUUUGUAUAACAAAAAUGCAUUCUUCUUAUUUCAUAUAUCCUCAAGAACUUGUAGAAACAAAAAAAAAAAAACUUCUGACAUAUAAAUUUUCGAUCUUAACAAACACUUAAAAAAUUCCUCAUGGAACUAUAACGUUGACAAAUUUCCAAGACUGUUGCAUCUUGUUUUGGUCAUAUUAUUUGUUUUGAUUAUUUUGUUUUCAUCAAAAUUUAUGUCUUGCAAAAGGACAUAGCAAUGCAAUUUUGUUGGUUAUGUGACUUUUACUUCCAUUACAUCUCUCUUUUUAAGUACCAGUAUUUUGUCCUAAUGCAUCAUUAUCAAAAUGUUUCCCAAUCUCUAAAAUUAAGUGUUAAAAUCCCAUCAUUGAGGUCCUCUGUCCUGAUUAUGAUCCAAAAAAUUCAAAAUUUUGCCGUUGGUAACUGAAAAUGGUUAGAUUUUCAUUGUCACUAAUGUUGUUGCCAAAAACUAGAGAUACCCUUUUUGAUGUGAUUGAUGUCUAUUAAUGAUCAUGUAUUGGAAAAACCGAUUGGAUUUACUGUUUCCUUGAGCAAAAAAAUAAAUAAAUUUUAAUUAAAUGAAGCUUCUCCCAUGAUAAGAAUUCACCUAACAUAAAUAACUAUGCCCAACAACACAUCUAUCCCCUCCCCCAAGUAACUAAGUGCUUUAGCAUUGAUAAUAACAGUGUAAGGAAAGCUACAUAAUUUGGAUUUCUCAAGCCUUUUGAAUCUAUAAGUAGUCAUUGCCUUCCAUUCUGCUUACUGAACCAAGCACUCCUUCGACCCUGAAAACGAAAAAUCAUGAGCCCAAAGAAGCUUAUCAAAAGAGCAAGAAAAUGGCAAGAGAUUGCAGCUAUGGGGAAAAGAUUUUCUUUUCCUAGAAGCAAUGGCAGUAAAAAUGUAGAUAGUUCUUAUAUAUCAUUGGCUGGGACAGGAAACUUUGUUAUUUACACAAUUGAGGAUCAGCGAUUUGUUCUUCCCAUAUCAUAUCUCAGAUGUAACAUCUUUAUAAAGCUGUUAAAGAUGUCUGAAGAAGAAUUUGGACUACCAAGCGAAGGGCCUAUCAAAUUGCCAUGUGACACACUUUUCAUGGAAUACAUAGUCUCACUCAUCCAGAAAGGUUUAGGUAAAGAUGUAGAGAAAGCUCUGCUUAUUUCCAUGGAAACUAGUUGUUGCUCAUUGUCUACUAGUUUCUAUCAAGGAAACACAGCGCAGCAAUUGCUUGUUUGUGGUUAAUCAAUUCUCUGAAAAUAGUAAUCUUCCCUGUACUUCUCUCACAUUUUUUCAAAAAGCUUCCUAGAUGCUUUACACUAUAAAGUAGACUUAAAUGCAAUUGAAAAAGUAACAGAAUACAGAGAGCCAUCAAAAGUAGAUUAAAUAGAUUUAAUUCGUAUGUAGACAAUUUUGAGAGAAUUUGUAUGUAGAAAAUUCUGCCCUCCAAAAUUCACUCUUAAAAUUUCACAGUAGUGACCUUUCCAAGUCCUGAAUAGCAUCUUAUUAAUGAGAAAGUGAAUAUAUACAGAAUAAUGAGAUAUACUUACCAUAAAUGCGUACCUGGAAGUUGUUGGGCAUACUGGGUCCAAUUUGCUUUCCACCAGAUAAACGCACAGACAACAGAAUCAGGCUUGCACAAUCUAACCAGAUACUAUUAAUAAUUUAGAUCACAUUCAUUGAAUGCAACAAUCAGAGACUAGUUUUCCAAUUUUUUUAGUAAACCACUUGAUGAAAU